rnacentral:ncRNA from 4 species
GGGGUGAGGACAGUGUCUGGUGGGUAGUUUGACUGGGGCGGUCUCCUCCCAAAGAGUAACGGAGGAGCACGAAGGUUAGCUAAUCACGGUCGGACAUCGUGAGGUUAGUGCAAAGGCAUAAGCUAGCUUGACUGCGAGAGUGACGGCUCGAGCAGGUACGAAAGUAGGUCUUAGUGAUCCGGUGGUUCUGAAUGGAAGGGCCAUCGCUCAACGGAUAAAAGGUACUCCGGGGAUAACAGGCUGAUACCGCCCAAGAGUUCAUAUCGACGGCGGUGUUUGGCACCUCGAUGUCGGCUCAUCACAUCCUGGGGCUGAAGUAGGUCCCAAGGGUAUGGCUGUUCGCCAUUUAAAGUGGUACGCGAGCUGGGUUUAGAACGUCGUGAGACAGUUCGGUCCCUAUCUGCCGUGGGCGUUGGAAGAUUGAGAGGGGCUGCUCCUAGUACGAGAGGACCGGAGUGGACGAAUCACUGGUGUUCGGGUUGUCAUGCCAAUGGCAUUGCCCGGUAGCUAAAUUCGGAAGAGAUAACCGCUGAAAGCAUCUAAGCGGGAAACUUGCCUCGAGAUGAGUCUUCCCUGGGGCUUUAAGCCCCCUGAAGGAACGUUAAAGACUAUGACGUUGAUAGGCUGGGUGUGUAAGUGCAGCGAUGCAUUGAGCUAACCAGUACUAAUGAUCCGUGAGGCUUAACCUU